rnacentral:rRNA from 1 species
UUUUAGCAUGGAUAAUGGAAUAGGACGUGUGGUCUUAUUUCGUUGGUUCCUAGGACCGCCGUAAUGAUUAAUAGGGACAGCCGGGGGCAUCAGUAUUCAAUCGUCAGAGGCGAAAUUCUUGGAUCGAUUGAAGACUAACUACUGCGAAAGCAUUUGCCAAGGAUGUUUUCAUUUAUCAGGAACGAAAGUUAGGGGAUCGAAGACGAUCAGAUACCGUCGUAGUCUUAACCAUAAACUAUGCCGACUAGGGAUCGGACGGUGUUAUUUCUUGACCCGUUCGGCACCUUACGAGAAAUCAAAGUGCUUGGGCUCCAGGGGGAGUAUGGUCGCAAGGCUGAAACUUAAAGAAAUUGACGGAAGGGCACCACCAGGGGUGGAGCCUGCGGCUUAAUUUGACUCAACACGGGGAAACUCACCAGGUCCAGACACAACGAGGAUUGACAGAUUGAGAGCUCUUUCUUGAUUUUGUGGGUGGUGGUGCAUGGCCGUUCUUAGUUGGUGGAGUGAUUUGUCUGCUUAAUUGCGAUAACGAACGAGACCUUAACCUGCUAAAUAGCCCGUAUUGCUUUGGCAGUACGCUGGCUUCUUAGAGGGACUAUCGGCUCAAGCCGAUGGAAGUUUGAGGCAAUAACAGGUCUGUGAUGCCCUUAGAUGUUCUGGGCCGCACGCGCGCUACACUGACGGAGCCAGCGAGUACUCCCUUGGCCGGAAGGCCCGGGUAAUCUUGUUAAACUCCGUCGUGCUGG